rnacentral:rRNA from 1 species
UACGAAGGGGGCUAGCGUUGCUCGGAAUCACUGGGCGUAAAGGGUGCGUAGGCGGGUCUUUAAGUCAUGGGUGAAAUCCUGGAGCUCAACUCCAGAACUGCCUUUGAUACUGAAGAUCUUGAGUUCGGGAGAGGUGAGUGGAACUGCGAGUGUAGAGGUGAAAUUCGUAGAUAUUGGGAAGAACACCGGUGGCGAAGGCGGCUAUCUGGACCGACAUUGACGCUGAGGCGCGAAAGCGUGGGGAGCAAACAGG